UGUAAAGUACAACUGGGGAAUACAGAAACAGCUGUGUACAAGCGGAGUUAUGGGACUUUGUUAGUUAUGUAGAUAUGUGUACAAAGACUAAAAGUCUUUGUGCAUGUAUCUACAUAACUAACAAAAUAACUUUAAAUUAAAAGUUAAGAAAGCAGCAUGUUAGAAAAUUUAGAUGGAUCCUAAGGAAGCAACUCCCGUACAAGCCUAGGAAGGAGUUUAGUUUGGAAGAAGUACUAACUAUUUUAGGUAAUAUCCAAUUGCUUGAUUUUGCAAGAAGGAUCCUUGGAAAGGGCCGUCACAUGCUCUCUCUAAACAAAUACCGAUUCUGGAUGACAUUCCAACAUUUGAAAGCUUAAUAAAAGACUAUAAUGACCUAAAUAAAGAGGCCCUAAGGUGGGACUUUCUAAGGCAGAGACAUUAUGAACAAUCUCAAAUUCUUUGAUGAUUAAAAAGCUUUAACAUUAUGAACAUUUGAAGCAAAGUAAAAUAAAGAAGGUGGAAAUUUCAAAAGAAUGGGUUGAUGCUAGGAAAAUGGCAAUAUGGAUGAGAGAGGAAAACUACGUACUCACAAGGGAGGAUAAAACUAAGAAAAUGGUAUUGAUGAGUAGAGGCGAUUACAAUGACUUUCUGAAUAGUUAUAUACUGCAGUCAGGAGUGGUGGAGCUUGAUAAAGAUCCAACCAGGAAGAUAGAGGCUUGGGUGAACAGGAUUGUUAAGAAUAAUAACUUUCCAUGG
rnacentral:lncRNA from 1 species